GAUGAACGCUGGCGGCGUGCCUAACACAUGCAAGUCGAACGAACCUUGGGGAACGGAUUACUUCGGUUUGAAGUUCCCCGCUGGUUAGUGGCGGACGGGUGAGUAACGCGUGGGUAACCUGCCGUAUGCAGGGGGAUAACAGUUAGAAAUGACUGCUAAUACCGCAUAAGCGCACAGUAUCGCAUGAUACAGUGUGAAAAACGAUAGUGGCAUACGAUGGACCCGCGUCUGAUUAGCUAGUUGGCGGGGUAACGGCCCACCAAGGCAACGAUCAGUAGGGGUUCUGAGAGGAAGGUCCCCCACAUUGGAACUGAGACACGGUCCAAACUCCUACGGGAGGCAGCAGUGAGGAAUAUUGGUCAAUGGACGGGAGUCUGAACCAGCCAAGUAGCGUGCAGGAUGACGGCCCUAUGGGUUGUAAACUGCUUUUAUAGGGGGAUAAAGUGUGUCACGUGUGGCAUAUUGCAGGUACCCUAUGAAUAAGGACCGGCUAAUUCCGUGCCAGCAG
rnacentral:rRNA from 1 species